UCUUCCACGAUUCACAAACAUAUCCCUGCGAUAGUCUUUUGCCGGCGGGCCACCUCUUAUAGGGGAACGGCUUCUCUCUCUCACGUCACGAGCCCACCGACCACCACGAUGGUGAGGAGCUGACGGCAAAAGGGGUGCAGGGGGUGACAGUGGCCUCCUAUCAAAUCGUGCAGCAGGGGGUGACAAUGGCCUCCGAUCAAAUCGUGCACCAGGGGGCGACAGUGGCCCCCGAUCAAAUCUUGCNNAUCAAAUCGUGCAGCAGGGGGUGACAGUGGCCUCCGAUCAAAUCUUGCAGCAGGAGGUGACAGUGGCCUCCUCUCAAAUCCUUUCCUUUCAUUUGCGAGAACAUCUCUAACACGAUCUCUACUAUCCCAGUCCAAAGGGGGUGGCCUAUCAAACUUGCUUCUUCCCCUGUAAGGAUCUUCUAUGUAAUCCAGGCGGUCUCUAUGC
rnacentral:lncRNA from 1 species